UACGAAGGGGGGCUAGCGUUGCUCGGAAUCACUGGGCGUAAAGCGCACGUAGGCGGCUUUUUAAGUCAGGGGUGAAAUCCUGGAGCUCAACUCCAGAACUGCCUUUGAUACUGAGAGCUUGAGUCCGGGAGAGGUGAGUGGAACUGCGAGUGUAGAGGUGAAAUUCGUAGAUAUUCGCAAGAACACCAGUGGCGAAGGCGGCUCACUGGCCCGGUACUGACGCUGACGAUGCGAAAGCGUGGGGAGCAAACAGG
rnacentral:rRNA from 1 species